GCCCUGAUGGUGGAAUUGGUAGACACAAGGGAUUUAAAAUCCCUCGGCGUUCGCGCUGUGCCGGUUCAAGUCCGGCUCGGGGCACCA
rnacentral:tRNA from 2 species